rnacentral:rRNA from 1 species
UAAUGUAUUUGAUGAUAAAUUCUUAGGUAAAUUAGAAAUGUUGUUUAAUAAAUAAAGAAGUUAUUGUAAUAUGAAAAUCAAUUUUAUAGUUAAAAGUAAAGGUUAAUGAAAUUAUAAUUAAACUACAGCUUAAAAGUACUGUGAAGGAAGGUUGAAAGAUUAAAAUAUAAUUUUUAUAGAAAUUAUAUAAUAGUGUACCUUGUGUAUUAGGGAAAAUUAAAAUUGAUUAGUUAUAUUAAUUAUCUCGAAAUAAAUAACAGUUAAUUUUAUAUUAAGUUAUUGUAAUAAAAAUAUUUAUAAUAUAAAAUUAAGGGUGAAACAUCAGACGAGUUUUAUUAUAUCUAGUUUUUUAAGAAAUGAAUUUAAUUCAAGGUUAUUACUAAAACAAAAAUUAUUUAAAAUUGUAAUAGUUCUAGGGGUAGGAGGGAACAGCUUCUUAUCUAAAAUUGUAUAUUAUAAUAGUUAAUUAUAAAUUUAAGGGAUUAUAUUAGGCUUAGAAGUAGCCAUAAUAAUAAAGUGUUUAAACUAAAAAUAAAAUAAAUAAUUAUUUAUAUUAACUUUAAAGAGUAUUAAAAAAUAAAUUUAAAUAUAAGUUUGUUUAGAUAUAUUGAUUUUAUUAGUAUAAUAAAUAUUAUUGGAUAAAUUAAAUUUAAUAGGAAUAUAAUUUUAAUAAAUUAAAGUUAAUAUAAAGGAACUCGGCAAAUAAUUUCCUUGCCUGUUUAUCAAAAACAUGUCCAUUUGAUGAUAUAAAUGGUCUGGCCUGCUCACUGAUAAAUAUAUUUAAGAGCCGCGGUAUUUUGACCGUGCAAAGGUAGCAUAAUCAUUAGGGGUUUAAUUGGAACCUGGAAUGAAGGGUUGGACAAAGGAGAAGCUGUCUCAGUAUUAUAAAUUGAAUUUUACUUUUAAGUGAAAAGGCUUAAAUAAAUCAAAGGGACGAUAAGACCCUAUAAAGCUUUAUAAAUUAUUUGGAUUCAGUUAAUUUAAAUUAUAAAAAUUGAAUUUAAUUAUUUUAUUUUAUUGGGGCGAUAUGAGUAUAAUUUUUAUUAACUGCUUAAAAGGAAAUACAAGUUUAAGUGUUUGUAGAUUAAAUGAUCCUUUAUAAAGAUUAAAAGACUAAGUUACUUUAGGGAUAACAGCGUUAUUUCUUUUGAGAGUUCAUAUCGAAAAAGAAGAUUGCGACCUCGAUGUUGAAUUAAAAUAUCUAUAUAGUGCAGUCGUUAUAUAAGAGGGUCUGUUCGACCUUUAAAUUUUUACAUGAUUUGAGUUCAGACCGGCGUGAGCCAGGUCGGUUUCUAUCUUUUGAUAAAGAUAAAUUAUUCUAGUACGAAAGGAUUGAGUAAUUUAAAGAUUUUAAAAGAGUGGAAUAAGGCUAUUUUGGCAG